rnacentral:rRNA from 1 species
AUUGAACGCUGGCGGCAUGCCUUACACAUGCAAGUCGAACGGCAGCACGGGAGCAAUCCUGGUGGCGAGUGGCGAACGGGUGAGUAAUAUAUCGGAACGUGCCCAGUCGUGGGGAUAACGUAGCGAAAGCUACGCUAAUACCGCAUACGAUCUAUGGAUGAAAGCGGGGGAUCGCAAGACCUCGCACGAUUGGAGCGGCCGAUAUCAGAUUAGGUAGUUGGUGAGGUAAAGGCUCACCAAGCCGACGAUCUGUAGCUGGUCUGAGAGGACGACCAGCCACACUGGGACUGAGACACGGCCCAGACUCCUACGGGAGGCAGCAGUGGGGAAUAUUGGACAAUGGGCGAAAGCCUGAUCCAGCAAUGCCGCGUGUGUGAAGAAGGUCUUCGGAGUUGUAAA